rnacentral:lncRNA from 1 species
GUGGAUGGAAUAUGAUGGAAUGGUACAUAGACUCCUUUUGUAUGAUUUCAUCUCUCUCCUAUUUCUCUUUCUUUUGGACAUGGGCUAUCUUUUUCUCUUUUUCUCUUCUCUCUUUUUUUCUUUUUCUCUUUUUUAAUCAUGCUUUGAGCAUGGCUUUAUUUCUUUUUGCAUAGCCCAUGUCUCUUUUGGAAGGAUACAUUUAGAGAGAGAGGACACACCAUAUGUGGAGCUUUAUUUGGUGGAUAAAUGGAUGGGAUGUUACUAGCUUCCAAUGUAGAAGUCUAGUAUGUGGAAGUGGAGUGUACAUGAUAUUGAUCAAGAAAGUAGGAAAAAUAUUCCACAAGGGUCACAACAAUUUGGCAAAGCUCAUCAUGAUAGCAAGCAGCAUAUGUGUAUAGGUUCUUUCAUUAAGAUCAACAUAUGACUUUGGUAGGAUGGAGGCAUAUCAUUGAGGAGCUAGCUAGGUCAUUGUUUUCAUGAUAAAUUUCCCAAGUACUUUAGGCAGAACAGCGCAAGGUUCA